AAUCAACGUGGCACAUAUUAAAUAGAUUAAAAGCUGGCUAUCUGAUGCCUCUCACAAGUGAGGCAGUGUGGUUCCUUGCCACCCCGGAGAGAGAUGAGUCCCUCUGGACACCAGAGUGGGCGGAGCCAGGAGCGCUGAGCCCGCCCCCUCCCAGAGGGUCAGACUUUGCCCUAGAAGUAUAAAGUACCGACCUCAGAGCUCACUGGGAGAGCAGCUGCCGGGGAGGCCAGAUGCCUCCGAUCUAGCUCGUGAUUGGGAAACCCCAGCGGCCUGCGGUAAACCCGAGGACUGGCCUGAAACUGCCCCGUGUGAGCUACCCAGAGGAGUUGCUGAGUCGGCCCCUUGCCAGCUACCCCGAGGAACCCAGCGUGCUGGACCCCCAGGAGGACACCACCCCGACCCAGGCCGCAGAGGAAGAUUCCUGCAGCAAACUAAUUCCCAACAAGAAAUCUUCCCAAGUUUAGUGAGGCGAUGUGGUUCCCCUCUGUGCCAGAGAGAGAUGCGCCCUGGUUAACCUCUCUACAGUACUGAUCUGGAAGAAAAAAUAAAAUAAUUACUGAUAAAGGUGACCAAGAUUGGUGAGGUGGUAACUAAUGAAGAUGGGUCAUUGUGAUCUGAUGCCUUUAUAAGCUUGGGACAGUCAAAUAACUUGUAAUACAGCCAAAUGCAAUGUCAUAUGUCUAGGAACAAAGAAUGCAUUGACUCUGAAAAGACCUUAGUGGUCAUUGUAGAAAGCCAUCUGAAUGUGAGCUCUCAUCCUGACGCUAUUGCAAUACAGGCUAACAUAGUCCUAGUAUGUAUACACAAGGGGAUAUUGAGCCGGAGUAGGAAGCUGAUAUUGUCUCCAUAUAUGGGACUGGUAAAAGCAUUACUAGAUUACUGUGUCUAGAUCAGGUGUCUGUACUAAAAAAAAUUGCUCAGAGAAGAGCUAUAAAAAUGGCUCAACAUUUGCAAAAUACACCUUGCAAUGAAAGACUUCAGGAGGUCAAUGUAUUUAGCUUAUCAAAGAGUGUUAAGAGAUCAAGGUGUACAAGUACCUACACAAGGAGAAAACAUCUGAUAUUAGGUGACACUUUUGUCCACUAGAUUAAAGAAUCUCAAAAUUCAGUGGCUGAAAAUUAAAAAUUAGAAAAGCCAUGCAGGAAAUAAGACACAAACUUUUACAAAUGAGAAUUAUUAAUCAUUGGAACUGCUCUCCAGGGCAUAUGGUAAAUUCUCCAGCACAUAGAGUCUUUAAAUGAAGACUGGAUGACUUUCUACAAGAGAGGUUCUCUAGUUUAGUUUAACCCUAUUUAUUGGACUUGGUGAUGGAAUUACUGGGUAAGAUUGUACAGCCUGUGUUAUUCAGGGAUUAAUAGGUUUUAAUACCAGAAAAGAUCAGUAUGAUGAUCCAGGUUGGAUGUUCUGCAUAACGCAGGAGGUCAUAGUGGUAUCUUCCAGUCUUAAAUUUUAUGGGCCUGAGCUUCAGCUGGUCUAAAUCAGUAUAACUCCAGAUUUAUCCCAAUUGAAGAUUUGGCCUCCUAUUUUUUAUUAAUUUAGUAAUGUCAGAAAACAUGCCUUCUUAAAAGUUACCCAGCUUACUAUGAAAGUCCUUGUUGCAUUUAGCUUCAUAUCAUGUGACUCUGGUGAUUCUUGAUAUGAUUAGUUAAAGCUCUAGCUUGACUUUAAAAUAGCACCUGUAUUGGCAAUGCAGUUCAACCUCAAAGAAUGAAUGCUUGCCUGUAUUUUAAUUCUUCAUGAAAAUUAAUUAAUUACAAUUUUUUUGUA